GAUGAACGCUAGCGGCAGGCUUAAUACAUGCAAGUCGAGGGGCAGCACGGACAGCAAUGUCUGGUGGCGACCGGCAAACGGGUGCGGAACACGUACACAACCUUCCUUUUGGUGGGGGAUAGCCCAGAGAAAUUUGGAUUAAUACCCCGUAGUAUAAUGGUGAAGCAUUUCACUGUUAUUAAAGAUUUAUUGCCAGGAGAUGGGUGUGCGUCUGAUUAGGUAGUUGGUCGGGGAAAGGCCCACCAAGCCAACGACCAGUAACUGGUGUGAGAGCACGACCAGUCACACGGGCACUGAGACACGGGCCCGACUCCUACGGGAGGCAGCAGUAAGGAAUAUUGGUCAAUGGACNCAAGUCUGAACCAGCCAUGCCGCGUGGAGGAU
rnacentral:rRNA from 1 species